GGACCCGCACAAGCAGUGGAGCAUGUGGUUUAAUUCGACGCAACGCGAAGAACCUUACCAAGGCUUGACAUAAUACUGCACAUGUUGGAAACAGCAUGGUCCUUCGGGACGGUAUUACAGGUGGUGCAUGGUUGUCGUCAGCUCGUGUCGUGAGAUGUUGGGUUAAGUCCCGCAACGAGCGCAACCCCUAUCAUUAGUUGCCAACAGUCAGGCUGUGCACUCUAAUGAGACUAUCGGCGAUAAGCCGGGGGAAGGUGGGGACGACGUCAAAUCAUCAUGCCCCUUAUGUCUUGGGCUACACACGUGCUACAAUGGCCAUUACAACGGGUAGCGAAGGAGUAAUCUGAAGCCAAUCCCCAAAGAUGGUCCCAGUUCGGAUUGUGGGCUGCAACUCGCCCACAUGAAGUCGGAAUUGCUAGUAAUUGCAGGUCAGCAUACUGCAGUGAAUACGUUCCCGGGUCUU
rnacentral:rRNA from 1 species